rnacentral:rRNA from 1 species
AGAGUUUGAUCCUGGCUCAGGAUGAACGCUAGCGGGAGGCCUAACACAUGCAAGUCGAACGGGAUUGGUAGCAAUACCAUGAGAGUGGCGCACGGGUGAGUAACGCGUAUGCAACCUACCUUUAACUGGGGGAUAGCCCGGAGAAAUCCGGAUUAAUACCGCAUAAGAUUGUUGAUCGGCAUCGUUUAACAAUUAAAACUCAGGUGGUUAAAGAUGGGCAUGCGUGACAUUAGCUAGUUGGUAAGGUAACGGCUUACCAAGGCUACGAUGUCUAGGGGUUCUGAGAGGAUGAUCCCCCACACUGGUACUGAGACACGGACCAGACUCCUACGGGAGGCAGCAGUGAGGAAUAUUGGUCAAUGGGUGCAAGCCUGAACCAGCCAUGCCGCGUGAAGGAUGAAGGUCCUAUGGAUUGUAAACUUCUUUUAUACGGAAAAAAACCCCCGGACGUGUUCGGGGCUGAUGGUACCGUAAGAAUAAGGAUCGGCUAACUCCGUGCCAGCAGCCGCGGUAAUACGGAGGAUCCAAGCGUUAUCCGGAUUCACUGGGUUUAAAGGGUGUGUAGGCGGGGCAUUAAGUCAGUGGUGAAAUCCUACAGCUUAACUGUAGAACUGCCAUAGAAACUGAUGCUCUUGAAUGUAGUUGAGGUAAGCGGAAUGUGUGGUGUAGCGGUGAAAUGCUUAGAUAUCACACAGAACACCAAUUGCGAAGGCAGCUUGCUAAGCUAUGAUUGACGCUGAGACACGAAAGCGUGGGGAUCAAACAGGAUUAGAUACCCUGGUAGUCC